AUACCUUUCUCGGCCUUUUGGCUAAGAACAAGUGUAGUAUCUGUUCUUAUCAAUUUAAUAUCUGAUAAAUUUGAACCUACGGAUACACAGGGUGAACCUCUAUAGGUUUCCUAUAUGUUUGCCCCUCCGAUAUUAAUUUUUUUUAUAGGGAAAGGACCUUAAACAGUAGCUUGCUACUUGGGUUCUUUUGUGUCACCCUUGCUUUGCACUUUCGUUAGGGCUUGGCACACCCGCC
rnacentral:snRNA from 1 species